rnacentral:rRNA from 1 species
UGUUUCGGCUAGGGGGCCAUCCCGGCUUACCAACCCGAUGCAAACUGCGAAUACCGGAGAAUGUUAUCACGGGAGACACACGGCGGGUGCUAACGUCCGUCGUGAAGAGGGAAACAACCCAGACCGCCAGCUAAGGUCCCAAAGUCAUGGUUAAGUGGGAAACGAUGUGGGAAGGCCCAGACAGCCAGGAUGUUGGCUUAGAAGCAGCCAUCAUUUAAAGAAAGCGUAAUAGCUCACUGGUCGAGUCGGCCUGCGCGGAAGAUGUAACGGGGCUAAACCAUGCACCGAAGCUGCGGCAGCGACGCUGAUGCGUUGUUGGGUAGGGGAGCGUUCUGUAAGCCUGUGAAGGUGGCCUGUGAGGGUUGCUGGAGGUAUCAGAAGUGCGAAUGCUGACAUAAGUAACGAUAAAGCGGGUGAAAAGCCCGCUCGCCGGAAGACCAAGGGUUCCUGUCCAACGUUAAUCGGGGCAGGGUGAGUCGACCCCUAAGGCGAGGCCGAAAGGCGUAGUCGAUGGGAAACGGGUUAAUAUUCCCGUACUUGGUGUUACUGCGAAGGGGGGACGGAGAAGGCUAUGUUGGCCGGGCGACGGUUGUCCCGGUUUAAGCGUGUAGGUGUGUGUUCCAGGUAAAUCCGGUUCACUUUAACACUGAGGCGUGAUGACGAGGCACUAC